UCUAACGUUGACCCGUAAUCCGGGUUGCGGACAGUGUCUGGUGGGUAGUUUGACUGGGGCGGUCUCCUCCUAAAGAGUAACGGAGGAGCACGAAGGUUGGCUAAUCCUGGUCGGACAUCAGGAGGUUAGUGCAAUGGCAUAAGCCAGCUUGACUGCGAGCGUGACGGCGCGAGCAGGUGCGAAAGCAGGUCAUAGUGAUCCGGUGGUUCUGAAUGGAAGGGCCAUCGCUCAACGGAUAAAAGGUACUCCGGGGAUAACAGGCUGAUACCGCCCAAGAGUUCAUAUCGACGGCGGUGUUUGGCACCUCGAUGUCGGCUCAUCACAUCCUGGGGCUGAAGUAGGUCCCAAGGGUAUGGCUGUUCGCCAUUUAAAGUGGUACGCGAGCUGGGUUUAGAACGUCGUGAGACAGUUCGGUCCCUA
rnacentral:rRNA from 1 species